GGAGAAAAGCAGGGGAUCGCAAGACCUUGUGCUUUAAGAGUGGCCGAUGUCUGAUUAGCUAGUUGGUAAGGUAAAAGCUUACCAAGGCGACGAUCAGUAGCUGGUCUGAGAGGACGAUCAGCCACACUGGGACUGAGACACGGCCCAGGCUCCUACGGGAGGCAGCAGUGGGGAAUUUUGGACAAUGGGCGAAAGCCUGAUCCAGCAAUGCCGCGUGAGUGAAGAAGGCCUUCGGGUUGUAAAGCUCUUUCAGUCGAGAAGAAAAAGCUAUAUUAAAUAAAUAUAGCUAAUGACGGUAUCGAAAGAAGAAGCACCGGCUAACUACGUGCCAGCAGCCGCGGUAAUACGUAGGGUGCAAGCGUUAAUCGGAAUUACUGGGCGUAAAGGGUGCGCAGGCGGUACUGUAAGUCAGAUGUGAAAUCCCCGGGCUUAACCUGGGAACUGCGUUUGAAACUACAAAGCUAG
rnacentral:rRNA from 1 species